CAGUCGCCGCGGUGAUACGAAGGUCCCGAGCGUUGUUCGGAAUCACUGGGCGUAAAGGGCUCGCAGGCGGUUUCUUAAGGCUGAUGUGAAAGCCCCCGGCUCAACCGGGGAGGGUCAUUGGAAACUGGGAAACUUGAGUGCAGAAGAGGAGAGUGGAAUUCCACGUGUAGCGGUGAAAUGCGUAGAGAUGUGGAGGAACACCAGUGGCGAAGGCGACUCUCUGGUCUGUAACUGACGCUGAGGAGCGAAAGCGUGGGGAGCGAACAGGAUUAGAUACCCGAGUAGUCCCUGUCUCUUAUAC
rnacentral:rRNA from 1 species